UAAGAAACAGAUUUAUUUCAGAUUUUAGUGGGUCAAAAUUGUACAUACACACUGUUAGUAUUUGGUGGCAUUGCCUUUUAACUGCUUUAAGUUGAACCGACUCUUCCACAAGCUUCUCACAACACUUGUGCUGGAAUUUUUUUUUAUCCAUUCCUACUGACAGAACUGGGGCAAAUCGUCAGGUUUGUGGGCUUCCUUGCUCAGACAUGCUUCUUAAGUUCAGUCCACACAUUUUCUCUGAGAUUCUGUUGAUUUGGAGGUAUGCUUAGGAUCAUUGUCCUGCUAAAAGACCAAGUUGCAACCAAGGUUAAACUUUCUGUCUGAUGUCUCCGAAGUUCUGCUUCAGUCUUUCGAGAUGAUCCUCCUUCCUCAUGAGUAAUCGAUUUUCUGAAGUGAAUCAGUCCCUUUUCCAGAAACACACCCCCAUAACGUGAUGCUACCACAACCAUGCUUCACAGCUGGCAUGGUGUUCUUCGGAAAAGCCUCAACCAUUUCCCUCCAUAUAUACAUAGCGCUGAUCAUUAUGGGCAAACAGUUCUUUUUUUGUUUCAGCUGACCAGAGAGCACUCCUUCCUCCAAAAGACUAGGUCUUUGUGUUGGUCCUGUUGUUCACCUGCGAGCUUCAAUCUGGCUGUUUUUUUGUUUUGUUUUUAUGCCAGUCAGGUGAUAACAAUGUAGACAUUGGCGCUCUUAAUGGUAGAUGUACACAGGUGCACUCCCAAUUAACUCCUAAUUAUGACAAUUGGCCAAUCCAAAGCUUCUAAAAGUCAUUAAAUAUUAAUUUCUGGAAACUAAAUAUCGUUUAAAGAGACAUGUAGGCUAUCAGUGACAAUCAUGUCAGGUGAUCAUACAGAGGGAAACACCCCCUAGAUUUUAUCUCCACUUGGGCUGAUAUUUAAUAGCCUGCUUCACCAACACAUCCAUACAACGUCAUCAGCAGUGAUUGAGAAGGCGCAUUUGAAAUACAGCUGCUGGGUGGAACGACCACAAAUGAGAUUGGUCAGUGGUCACGUGUUGAAGCUGCGCAGAAAUCCAGAAGCCACGUACUGACCUACAGCCAAGUCUUCUGCUGCAUUAUGCUACUUUCAAAAGCACCCUGAUGUUCCUCAGAUUCUUACAAGGGUUGAUCUGGUUUGUCAUCUCAGUGUUUUUUUUAUUUAUUUAUUUUUUUUUUUAAAGGAAUGGGAGCUUUGGUGACUUGAUAUCCACAAAAAGUGUUUUCAGCCCAGUACAGUGAGGUCCUUUCUCAUUCCUGGGUUAUGCUCCGGAGUACAUAUUUUACCGUAUAAGCAAAGGCAGCAAAGCCCACUAUUACGAACAGGUUUGCAAGUGCUCCGCCAAGGAGUCCAUGAUUGCGGUUAGCCUGCUGGAGGGGAAGGUGCUGAGGAGCCGCUGCUUCUCCCAAAGGGACGUGCCCAUUCAUCUCUGGGAGCCCGAAGUGACCCUGCUCUCCAUCUGGCACCACGUCUGGAAGCGGCAGAACCUGCGGCCGUGAAUUGAGCUCCUCCUGAGCCUUUUGUUUCUGCUUGAUCUCCUGCAAAGGAAUUAAAGCUAAAGUUGACCUGGUAGUACAGCUGCCUAAACACAGGCAUUUUCCCUAAAUGCAGGAGCAAACAGGUGUCCUGAGAACAAUAAUAAAUACAUUCAAAUGUCCCCUUUUCAGUUGAUGAAGGAGAAUAGGUUUGAAUCAAUAACUACAUACAGGAGUAUACAGAGCUUUCAGUUUUAAGACUCACCUCAACAACUUCUGGAAACAGUUCACAAAAGAUUCGGUCUUUUAAGUUAAAAGCCAAGCUCUGUGCAGACAGCUGUCUUUUCUGAUGAUGAUAAAAAAAAAAAAUUAAAAAAAAAAACAGUGGAGAGUAUUUCAGAAUACAUUCCCUUAGCUUGUAUUACAUGAAGUAUUACAUGGAGCAAAAUAUGAAAAUGCUUUCAAUAUACUAUGUUGUUUUUAAAUCAUUUUUGUAUAUAUUCUAUUAAUUCCUUCCUCUCAGAUGGUUUCUAUUGGAACAGUACACGUACAGUGUAAUCGGAUGUCUCGAUGCUUCCCAGUGUUGGGCCUUUCUCCACCAUGAAACUUAGCAGCCCCGUGAGGAUGGUCGAGACGGACCAGGCGGGGUUCCACGUGUCCGGAUGGAAGUCGG
ensembl:lncRNA